AGUGAACGCUGGCGGUAGGCCUAACACAUGCAAGUCGAACGGCAGCACAGUAAGAGCUUGCUCUUACGGGUGGCGAGUGGCGGACGGGUGAGGAAUACAUCGGAAUCUACUUUUUCGUGGGGGAUAACGUAGGGAAACUUACGCUAAUACCGCAUACGACCUACGGGUGAAAGCAGGGGAUCUUCGGACCUUGCGCGAUUGAAUGAGCCGAUGUCGGAUUAGCUAGUUGGCGGGGUAAAGGCCCACCAAGGCGACGAUCCGUAGCUGGUCUGAGAGGAUGAUCAGCCACACUGGAACUGAGACUCGGUCCAGAGUCCUAGGGGAGGCAGCAGUGGGGAAUAUUGGACACUGGGUGCAAGCCUGAUCCAGCCAUACCGCGUGGGUGCAGCAGGCCUUCGGGUUGUAAAGCCCUUUUGUUGGGAAAGAAAAGCAGCAGUUUAAUACCACGCUGUUCUGACGGUACCCAAAGAAUAAGCACAGGCUAACUUCGUG
rnacentral:rRNA from 1 species